AAAGUAUCCUAGGUACUUCUAGGGAGCCCUUUCUUGUGUGCAUAUGUGUUUUUGUAUAAAAUGAUGUUUGCAAUAAAAUAGAAUGGAGGGAUGGGAAAAGAAUUCAUUAAUUAUAUUUUUGUGUUUGACAAGACCUACGGACUUGUGCCUACGUACCAACAUAAAAAAUGAGGGAUCAAAACCUCGUAUUUCGUGGUAUCAAUUUCAAAGUGAGUGCAUUGCUUUUAACAAAAAAACUUUAGGUUUAGAAAGGCCAAAGGGCCUAAAAUAAUUUG
rnacentral:lncRNA from 1 species